AUGCAAAUCCAAAAUACGGCUUUAUUAUAACACUCUUUUAUAAAUUUGUCUUUACUUUUUUUAUUUUUUGUGAUACUCUUUAUUCGUGCCGCAUUUCGGAGCGGCAAUAUAUUAUUUUUUUAUAUUUGGAGGUAUCACAAUGAACAAAGGUACAGUUAAGUGGUUUAACAACCAGAAGGGUUACGGUUUCAUUUCCGACGAGACAGGCAACGAUGUAUUCGUUCAUUAUUCUGGUCUGAAUAUGGAAGGAUUCAAAUCUCUGGAAGAAGGCCAGGAAGUAGAAUUCGACGUAAUCGAGGGCGAAAAGGGUCCGCAGGCCAUUAACGUAACCAAACUUUAAUCAGCAGUUUUACAGUGU
rnacentral:sRNA from 1 species